rnacentral:rRNA from 1 species
GACGAACGCUGGCGGCGUGCUUAACACAUGCCAGUCGAACGCUGAGGCUCAGCUUUUGUUGGGUGGAUGAGUGGCGAACGGGUGAGUAACACGUGAGUAACCUGCCCCCUUCUUUGGGAUAACGCCCGGAAACGGGUGCUAAUACUGGAUAUUCACUGGUCUUCGCGUGGGGGUUGGUGGAAAGGGUUUUUCUGGUGGGGGAUGGGCUCGCGGCCUAUCAGCUUGUUGGUGGGGUGAUGGCCUACCAAGGCUUUGACGGGUAGCCGGCCUGAGAGGGUGACCGGUCACAUUGGGACUGAGAUACGGCCCAGACUCCUACGGGAGGCAGCAGUGGGGAAUAUUGCACAAUGGGCGCAAGCCUGAUGCAGCGACGCCGCGUGAGGGAUGGAGGCCUUCGGGUUGUGAACCUCUAUCGCUCAUGGUCAAGCCGCAACAAUGGUUGUGGUGAGGGUAGUGGGUAAAGAAGCGCCGGCUAACUACGUG